rnacentral:lncRNA from 1 species
GCCUGUUUAGAGUCCUUGGUUCUCAAACUAGUUUGCAUCUGAAUCACCUGGAAGACUUGUUAAAACAAAUUGUUGGGCUUUCCUCUCAGACUCUUUUUUAUUCAAGAUUUCUGGGUUAGGGUCUAAGUAUUUGUACUUCUAAUAAUUUGGAGAACCUCAAAACUAAGAUUUCUCUACUUAAAAUAUGUGAUAAAAACUGGGAAAGGAGUAAAUUUUCUUGGAGAUCAGGCUUUUUCGGUAGGUGUAAUAUUUCCAUGUUAGAUAUGCCAUAGUAUGCGCUGAAAAAAACUUAUUGAGUGAAUGAAUGAAUGUCUAGGAUGUUCAGACAUAAUGGUUUGUUAAGUGGUAAAUGAUUGGUAGGGAGAGUAUAUAAGUAGUGAGUGCUACUAGCUGGUUUGAGGAAGAACACUAGAGGGAGCCAGGUAUGGUGGUACACACAUUCAAAGCCAGCCUCGGCAAGUUAGGAAGGCCCUAAGCUACUUAGUGAGACCCUGUCUCUAAAUAAACAUAAAAAGGACUGGGGAUGUGACUCAGUGGUUAAGUGCCCCUGGGUUCUAUCCCCAGUACAAAAACCACUAGAGGGAGUAGGUUACUG